rnacentral:rRNA from 1 species
UAAGAGGUCCAGCCUGCCCAGUGACAAAUGUUCAACGGCCGCGGUAUCCUAACCGUGCGAAGGUAGCGUAAUCACUUGUUCUUUAAAUGAGGACUAGUAUGAAUGGCACCACGAGGGUUGCACUGUCUCCUUCCCCUAAUCAAUGAAACUAAUCUUCCCGUGAAGAAGCGGGAGUUUAUCUAUAAGACGAGAAGACCCUAUGGAGCUUUAAAUUUCUCUUCAAACGCCAGACAUAAACCCUAAACAUCUUACACUAACCCGGCGCCAUGAAGAUGAAUUUUAGGUUGGGGUGACCACGGAGAACAAAACAACCUCCACGCUGAAUAGGCCUAAAACCUUGAACUAAGGACCACAGCCCGACGAACUAAAAAAUUAACACCCAUUGACCCA